GAUGAACGCUAGCGGCAGGCCUAAUACAUGCAAGUCGAACGGAGUCUUCGGACAUAGUGGCGCACAGGUGCGUAACACGUAUGCAACCUACCUUACAUUGGGGGAUAGCCUUUCGAAAGGGAGAUUAAUACCGCGUAAGACAGUAGCUGGGCAUCCAGCUGCUGUUAAAGAUUUAUCGAUGUAAGCUGGGCAUGCGUCCAAUUAGCUAGUUGGUGAGGUAACGGCUCACCAAGGCUAUGAUUGGUAGGGGAACUGAGAGGUCAAUCCCCCACACUGGCACUGAGAUACGGGCCAGACUCCUACGGGAGGCAGCAGUAGGGAAUAUUGGGCAAUGGACGCAAGUCUGACCCAGCCAUGCCGCGUGCAGGAUGAAGGCGUUAUGCGUUGUAAACUGCUUUUAUACAGGGAGAAACGACUCUUGCGAGAGGCAUUGACGGUACUGUAUGAAUAAGCACCGGCUAACUCCGUGCCAGCCGCCGCCGUAAAAC
rnacentral:rRNA from 1 species